rnacentral:rRNA from 1 species
AGUGAACGCUAGCGGUAGGCCUAACACAUGCAAGUCGAACGGCAGCACAGUAAGAGCUUGCUCUUACGGGUGGCGAGUGGCGGACGGGUGAGGAAUACAUCGGAAUCUACUUUUUCGUGGGGGAUAACGUAGGGAAACUUACGCUAAUACCGCAUACGACCUACGGGUGAAAGCAGGGGAUCUUCGGACCUUGCGCGAUUGAAUGAGCCGAUGUCGGAUUAGCUAGUUGGCGGGGUAAAGGCCCACCAAGCCGACGAUCCGUAGCUGGUCUGAGAGGAUGAUCAGCCACACUGGAACUGAGACACGGUCCAGACUCCUACGGGAGGCAGCAGUGGGGAAUAUUGGACAAUGGGCGCAAGCCUGAUCCAGCCAUACCGCGUGGGUGAAGAAGGCCUUCGGGUUGUAAAGCCCUUUUGUUGGGAAAGAAAAGCAGCAGGUUAAUACCCCGCCGUUCUGACGGUACCCAAAGAAUAAGCACCGGCUAACUUCGUG